ensembl:lncRNA
GUCAGCUGGAACCAAGCAUUACCUGAGGCUCAGGGGUCUUUCAGGCUCACUGGUUGGUGGCGGAAUUUGGUUCCUAGAAACUGCUCCAAGCCAGUUUGCAGCAUGACUCUUGCUUUCUUCCAGGAGACCCACAGGAAAUCCACUCUCUUGUAAGAGGUUCGCUCGUUAUGUCAGGCCCUUCCAGAAUAAUCUCCCUUUUGCUUCAAGUCAGUGGAUUGACCCAAGUCAAUGGAUUAGUAAUCUAAUAGUGGACGUGGUGUCCCAUGGCUCUGCCCAUGCCCAAGGGAGGGGGAUUAUCCAGUGGUGCAGACUGGCGGGGGUAUCUGGGAAUUCUGCCAGCACAGGAGUGAUGACAGCUGUGCGUCUCUGUCAUUUGGUGAGUAAAGACCUUCUGACAUUGUCCUGGCCACCACUAGAGGCAAGGAAGCUGGUAGAGUGGAGAUCUAGCUUUUCCAGGUUCUGAGGGGAAGAUGAGGAAAGGACAGGUGCUGGGGAAAAGGGGUGGAUUGAUGGGUCAACAAAACGCACCGCCGUCAAAGCUGCUAGAAACCUGAAUUCUAGAAUUUUAGCUCUGGAGGAAGGCAUGAAGAUCCCUUAGUAUGGUGUUUCUAUUUUCUCCAGAAUGAACUAAAGUCCAGAGGACUUGUGUGAGGUUCUUGAAGUCUGGCCUAGACUCUCCAGGUUUGUGCAAAUUUACACUACGAUGUUCACACCAUGGUGCAAUCACCUGAUGAUACAUAUCUUAGAGUGUAAUUCUAUCAUUCAGUAACACAUGACUGUAUUUUCAGUUUGCAGCUUCAGGGACAGAAAGAAAAGGCAGUGGAAUGCUUUCAUUUAGCAGGAGGAGAAAACCUAGAAACUAGAAAAUGAGUAUCUGUGACACUGACCAGAGGAAAAAAGAUUGUGGACCCAAGAAGACCGAGUCUAAAGGUAGUGGUCACCAGUUUCUGAGCAUGCAGCUUCAGGAGAGAGGGAGGGAAAGGGAUUGCAAGAUUUUUAGGAGCGAGUUUGGAGGACGGCUGACGGCCGGCCUGUUUAAACAUUUUCAGGAGUCUAAGGAUAACAGGAAACUCAGAGGCGACAGAAGCAAGGGAAGGCUGUUUGGUUCAAUUGAUUUUGAGGAUGAGGGUGAUUUGAGCACAGGUUCUGUCUAGCAGAAAGGUAAAAAGAAAAGGGAGGAGGAAUAGGAAAGAGAAGACUGUGCCGAAGGGGAGGUACAGAACCGGAAGUGUCCUGAAAGGUGAACUCAGGAGGCAUCACAGUCCUCCGAGUGAGGAAGGAAAGAGGAGAAAGGAAGGCUUUCCACAGUUCCUUUCUGCUCCCCACUGGCUUGGGGAACUGCGGGCUAGCAGGUGGCCUCCUGCACCUCAGCUUCCUCCUUACCGCAUCGUUCGCCUGGGGGACAGUAGAGCUCAACUAGCUAUCACUGUGCCCCAGACAUUUCGCUCCCCUUGCUCUCCCGGCCAGUAGAUUGCUAACAACGGAGACAAUAGACCAACAGCAGGCAGCAUUCCUCCCACACUUGCAAGGCCACAUUCAAAUGAGAUGAACCUCAGAAAGAUACACGGCAAGGAAAUCAUUUGAAUGUCUCCUGAAGGGACGAUGUGAGUAGGUGUCUGACUGCUGCAUAUAAAAUGUCUUAGUACAUUUUAUCUAAAAUCACGUUAUUGCAGGAUAAUUUUUUUCUGAUUUUUCUUCCUCUUAUUUUCCGAGUUCAAUCAACUCUCCUUUCAUUUAUUUCUGGCUUUCAUCUGUUUUAGUACUUAGCUCUUGAAUUUGUGAUUAAGGUGUUCUUCCUGUUCCCCAUGCUUGUCCGAGGACGUUAACGCAGUAUUAGUUUUUUCCCACUUCGCCAUUGUUUAAGGGAGGAAUUUUCCUCAGUUGCACUCUUUGAACUUGUUUUCUUUUUAUGUAAUGAUCUUGCACAGAAGAGCCGUGUGCAUUUCUCUGGGCAGGGCUCAUAGUUGGAGUGGUUGCAAGAUUCCUAGCUCACGAGCGCCCUCUUCUGUCAGUGUAACAAAGUAUGAUUUCUUUCUUUUUUCUUUUUUAUGAUUAUUUUUCUUUAGUACCUGUUUGCAGUACAUGAUGUUUACAAACGUCUUAGGGAGUAGGUACACAUACUUAACAUAUCACAAUUCUUUUUAUUCCCCUUCCCUUCCUCCCUUUCUCCUCCAUCUUGGGAUCCCUUUCCCAUUUGCAAACCAUCUAUCUUCCCAUUUCCUACUGUCUCUUUCAUUUUGUUCUUUAAAUUAUUUAUGCUUUGGGUCUCUUAUAUAAGAGAAGUUACGUGAUAUUUAAGCUUGUGUGUCUGAUUUUUUUCACAUAACAUUAUGGGCUUCUUUUUUGGAAAGUUAAUAAUGGAAGAAGGGUUGGGUUUCCUUCCUUUUCAGAGGAGAAGUAUGUCUGGUAAGUUCCUCAAUUCCUGCUCUCUGCAAGGUUUGCAGAGGUCUCCGCUGCUUUCCUUUUGACCCUGUUCACCAGGGCCGAUUAUCCGACCAAGACAGCCUCUUCCUGUACUGCAAGCUGAGAGUGAACACUCUGACCGACCUCAGCCUUUUUUUCAGUAUUUUCAAACUUCCUCUUUCUGGGGGUGAUUUUAGACCAAUCUUAGGUCUAACACUAGUUCUCACCAUCAAAUACAUGAUCUUCCCCUAACUGGUUGAAGAACUGAGGUUUUCUUUCCCUUGGGGACUUACAGCAGGAGUGUGGGAGGCAACUUGCUGAGGUUUCCUGUUUAUUUUUCUAUUUACAGUUAAUUUGAAAUGUGGACACUCAAUGUCUCUGGUUAAGGGGAAGAUAGGGGUUUUGUAUAUUUACAUUUGAUCUUCUUAUUCUUUAUUGUUUUGGGUGAAAGUAUGUUGGGAAAUUCAGAUUUAUACCACCACCAUUUUCUUGACUUCCCAGAAUUCCUCCAUGUUUACUCUAAAUCUGUCUGAUUGGUCCACAAGAUGCAUUGGUGUCCACUGACAUCAAUAAUCUCAGGGAGCUCCUUAGGCUUCCAUAUUAAGAGUGGAGUUGGGCUACAGGUGAGGAAUAUUCCCUUAAAGAUAUUUGGGGGCUUUUCUUGUGGAACAAAGAAUUCAGAAGUAGGUGGUAGCGGGCAGAAGCACUGCCAUGCUGGAGUUGAAAUCGCUGUGACAGUUUAACCUUUCCUUCUCAGCUGCCUAUAGUUAUUACAGGGCUGUUCUACCUCCAGAUGCAUAUCUGUAAUCCAUUUGGAAAAUGGGCAAAAUGUGAAGGGUGAAAAACAUUUGUCAAUAGUCAACUUUUCAGCACAGAAAGCUCUAAUAGGUUAAAUUCAUUUCCAAAAUGACACCCAGCCAUCGCACCUACUACACACAGAUAAACACACACACACACACACACACACACGCUUACAGAGACUUUUAUAUUUUCAUAGCUCUUUGUCCAUUGGGAUAACUUCAUAUGCUAAAAUAUGUACUAGUUUUUGGUGUUAAUGUAAACUACUUUUGAAGGUAUAUCAACUCCAUAAGUUUCAUUUCAGAAGAGAGGGAACCAGACAUUGGAAAAUUUUCAUACUGAAGCACACCUUUUUAUAUAUUCCAGCAGACAGUAUCUUAGCAUGUAAUGAUUACAUUCUGACCCACAGAAAACUCUCAGGAGAUAUGAACUUCUGGCUCUACCACUAACUACUGAUGCUGUUGGAAGAAGACAUUUAACCUUUUUGAACAUCACCAGUUUCUUGUCUCUGUAGAAGGAUGGGAUUGAUUGGUAUGAUUGUUUCCUUAAAGAUCUGAGACUGAUUUGGGGAAUUUACACAUUUAAUCACCAUUUGUUUGAUGUUGGCCAUAUGCUAGGCACCAUUCUAUGUACUAUGGGUACAUUGUAGUCUGUUACUAUGAUGAGGGAGAAUUUCAAGCCCAUACAAAGGAGAUGAUGAAUCAAUAACUAGGAAAAAAUUUAACCAAGGAGUUACACAGUGACUGGCAUUAACACCAAUGAGCCACAUGCUUGGCAACCUUCAAGGGCUUGGAAUUUAGCUCAAUGGUUCUGCUGCCUGUCUCGCAAGCACAAGGUCCUGAGUUUGAUUCCUGGUACCAAAAAAAAAAAAAAAGAGUAAAUUUAUUCAAGCAUCCUAACCACAAAAAUGAUCAGUAGAUGAGAUAAUAAAUACAUUAACUACCUUGAUUUAGUCAUUUCACAAUGUCUAUGUUUCAAAACAUCACAUUGUACACCAUGAAUUUUAUUUGUCAAUUAAAAAAAUUAAAAAACAACAUGUUAUAAACCAGGAGAUGAAAGACUUCUACACUGAAAACUGUAGAACACUGCUGAAAGAAAUUAAAGAAGGCCUAAAGGAAUGAGAGACAUUCUAUGUUCAUGGAUGGGAAGACUUGACAUUAGUAAGAUGUCAUUAAUGCUCAAAGUGAUCUACAGACUCAAUGCAAUUUAUACCAAAAUCCCAAUAGCUUGCUCUGCAGAAAUGGGAAAGCCAAUUCUUAAAUUCAUAUGGAAUUUCAAGGGCCCCAAAUAGCUAAAAUCAUCUUGAAAAAACAAUUUUUUAAAAAAGCAGAGGGCUCACACUUCCUGAUUUUGAAAAGUUACUAUAAAGCUACUAUAGCCAAAAUGGUGUUGUACUAACAUAAAGAUAGACAUAUAGGCCAUUGAAAUAGAAUUCAGACUUCAGAAAUAAACCCAUGUAUCUAUGGUCAGCUGAUUUUUGAUAAGGGUAUUGAAUCCAUUCAAACAAAAGAAUUUCUACAAGCAAAAGAAUGAAAUCUGGGCCAGGGAUUUACGUCAGUGGUGCCGCCACCUGCCUCGCAAGCACAAGGUUCUGAGUUCAAUCCCUGGUACCAAUAAAAAUAAAUAAAAAAUAACUAAGAAUGAAAUCAGAUUCCAACCUCACAUCUAUACAAAAAUUAACUCAAAAUAGAUCAACAGUCUAAAUAUAAUGGCUGAAAUCAUAAAUUAAAUUGAAAGUAUUCUGAGCACAUUUAAGGUAAGCUAGGCUAAGUUAUAAUCUUCAAUAGGUUAGGUGUACCAAUUGACAUGCAAUAGGUUCGAAUUUCGGUGGGUUUAUUGGAACAUUACUUCAUUGUAAGUUGAAGAACAUCUGUACAUACACAAUGGAAUAUUAGUCACAAAAGGAAUGAAGUUCUGAUACAUGCAACAACAUGGAUGAAUCUCAUGGUAAGUAAAACAACCCAGACAUAGAAAGACAAAUACUGCAUUGGGGCCAGGGAUUUAGCUCAGCGGUUUUGCCUCCUGCUGCACAAGUGCAAGGACCCAAGUUCGAUCCCCGGUACAAAAAAAAAAAACAACAAAUACUGCAUGAUUCCACUUAUAUGAAAUAUCUAGAAUAGGCAAAUUCAUAGAGACAGGAAGUACUUAGAGGUUAGGAAGGACUGGGGGGAGAGGAAUAGAGAGUUAUGGCAUAAUGGCUUCAGAAUUUCUGUUUGGACAGUGAAAAUCUGGGGGGACCAGGUAGUGGUGGUUGUUUGCCCAAUAACAUGAAUGCAACUCAUGCCACUGAAUUAUACACUUAAAAUUGGUUUAAAUGGCAAACUUUGUUACAUGUACUUUUUCACAAUAAAAAGAGAAAAAAUGGGAUAGAUGGGAGAUUUAGGGCAGAUAGUCAUGGCUCAGAGGAAGAUAUCGGCUGGGCCUUUAGACACACAAAGAAAUCCAUAAAAAUGUAGAUUUACGCCUAAGUACAAACCUAAGUUUACCUUAACAGGUACUCAAACACACAGCUCUUCGUCUCUACAGUCCUACAUAUGUGCAGUCCACAAUUCCAGUAAGAAGAUGGCUAAGUCAAAGCAUCCACACACUAGAGGUACACACACGUGCCUAUUACACCAGGUGACAGGAUAGCCACACAGGUUAGCCAAAGAGCCUGCCCACGCAAGAGCACGUUCUAAAGGGGAAAGGAAAGAAAUGCCUGCAGACCUGAGAGACGCGCACAGAUAAGCACUUAGCACAACGAAGCAGUGGAAGAGUUCAAGGGCAUAUAAAUGGGUCACUGGUUGUAGAGGGGGGGAUCAGGGUCGUGAGCACAGCGGAAGCACUGGGGGCUAACUGCGCUGUACAAGGGCAGGGAUUGAAGGUGGGUGAGAUGGGAGAAUGAGAACAUGAGUGGGUGUACAAACAAUAGCUACUUACAGCCUUCUUUGUCUGAUACUCAUAACAAUAGGCUGGAGUUGCCGAGUUUUACUCUUUCUCUUGCCUGUGACUGUCUGACCUUUGGUUAUCAGAAAUCCAACUCAGGAACCUUUGUAAAUGUGGAUCCCAACGCUACUCUGGGGCAGUCCUCAGGUGAGGUCAGUGAACCACUGCAUCUGGCCUCUUUUGCCCGGUAGAGUGAACCCGCCUCAUCCAGGGGCUGCACUGUGCUGUGGAAAGCACCAACCCCACUGGCGGCCAGCCCAGAGCCGUGGUGCAGAGCGAAGUCCCAGAAUAACCAAGGCCAAAGGCAAAAGCAGUGAUGGGGCCGAGGAAGUGACAUACUGGGAGCGGUGAGUCAGGAGCACUGGGAGCUAGCACUCAAAGGAAGUAGUCAGCGAUGAGGGCACUGAUAACGUAACACUGAGGCAUGAGCACAGGACCAUGCCAGCAGACCCCUUGUAUGUGAAUCCUGUAUCCUUUGUGAUCACAAAGGCUGUACCUGAGCAAGGCCGCUGCUGACGGAAAUACACAGCUAGAGGCCACCAGGGCAUCAUGAAGGUCCCACGUGUCCUGCUACCAGUCCCCCCAUCUUUCCCUGGCCCCGCCUCUUUCACAGGCCCCGCUUCUUUCCCAGGCCUUUCCCCCCAGCGCUAGCACUUUGUUUCUUCACUGACCCAGCACCAAUGCCCUCUUCCCUCCUAUUAAAACCCUGAGUAAUUAUGGGGAUAAAAUCUUAUCUUCCGCUAUUAGGAAAGAGAAUUCUCCACUUACUGCUAAUCAAUAAAAUUAGAGUGAGUUACAUAGGAUUAUCAGCAUUUCCUUGGUUUCUACCUGCAUUUUCAGAACCAAAAAAAAUACGCCUUGGUGAGUAUAGGGUGUUAAAAUUCAGUAAAGAAGGGAACAUCCUGGCAUGUUUUAUAAUAACUUUUUUUUUUUUUUAGUUUUACAAUAGCUUUCUGAAGAGUAUACUGACAAAAUACAACUUUGGUCUUUUAGUAGGGAACCACGAUUGGCUUUGGAUUUUGAUUGUAGACACCAUCUUUAAAACAAUAGACUACUUUGAAUUAACUUACUCAUGGAUAUAGCAAGUAUAAUUUUUUUUUUUUUUUUUUUUACCAGGGAUCGAAUAGCAAGUAUAAUUUUAACAAAUACUAACUAGGGAAGUGUGUUUGUAUAUUUGCAAACGAUGGAGAUGUGUGACUUUGCCAAGUAAAGUCCACAGUUCAUGGAAUUAUUAUUACUGAAAGUGUUUUUAAAUUUUUUUCAUCUUUCAGCUCUUAUAAAUCCACAUUGCAGGUUAUUUGAACUAUAAUGGAUGGUGAUUCUAAAGGAAAUUAUCAUAUUCUGCUUCUUAACUUUGAGUUCAAUUGUGGUGGAAAAAUUAUUCUGUCUUUGAACAUAAUUUAACUUCUGAAAGCAUGCAUGAAAGGAUAACUCCAGAAAGAACAGAGAAGCUGACAGCGGCUUGACUUAUUCUGGAGGAAACGAAGUGAGAGAAAUGGCAGAAGCCAGGGCUGGUCUCUAUGGUGUGACACAGACUCCAGACAGACGGGCUUGGCUGGACAGUGUGAGCAAGGAUUCUGGAGACUGUAUGUGCUUUUCAGACAACCCACAGGCCUACACGAAAUAUCACAAGCCAGCUGCCUCUGCAGGUUCCUACUCAGAGGAAAGAAAGCAGACCAUUGUCAGCGCGAGGGAGCUGAGGAAUGAGCAGCAGCUGCUCAGGACUCUGCAGCAGGCUCCAGCCCCACGCGGAGGCCACUGCCUACUUCAAGGGUGGCACCAGCACCCUCCACUCUGCCCUAGACUCCUCCAGGUGCCAGGCAAGGUCACCUGGAAGAUACAGCAUGCCUCCCGCCAUCCAAGCCAGUGUGGAUAGCCAGGCAUCGAACUUGGGUCCUUGUGCUUGUGAGCCAGGCGGUGGAACCACUGAGCUAAAUCCCUGGUGGUAUUUUGCUAUUAUGAAUGAUGGUAUGAUACUUAUACACUCAUCUGUUUAUAUUUCUGCAGGAUAAAAUUCUACAAGUAGAAUUGUUGACUGCAUCCCUUUUAUUUCUUAGUUAAAAAAUUUAUUAGCCCACAUUUGGAAUACAUAGUGACUCCAUUCAUCGUGGGGUAUCGGUGCAUGCACAUAACACAUGUUAAUUCUUUUGACUUUUUCCCUUCCCUUCCUCUCCCCCCCCUUUUUCUCUAGAGACCGCAUUCCUUUUAAAGUUUUUGAUUGGUAGAGACAAGUUUUCCUUCAGUGAGAGAAUAUCAGUUUGUGUUCUAACCAACUGAGUGUUAUGUUCAUUUCCGCAUUAGUGUUUUUAAAACUAAUUGCAAAAGAAAAUCAAAUGAACUUUGGAAGAAGCAAUAUAUCAAUGAAGAAAAUAAGAACAACACAAGAGAAAUAAUGCUUUAGUUUCCCCCCGGACUCAUCCAACUGUAGUCUGUUUCCUCUCUCCCUCUCUCUCUCUCUCUUCUCUCUCUUCUCUCUCUCUUUCUCCUUUGACCAAGUGAGGAAUACUGUGGUAGAGUUGGUCACCAAACCUAUAGCUUUUCCUGUGCAUCCAGACAGACUACAUCUCCCAGGCUCCCUUGAGGUCAAGGGUGAACAUCAGUUCUGGCCAACAGAACAUGGGCGGAAAUGAUACAUGCUAUGUCUAAACCUGGCCCAGAUGCUCCUCUUCCUGUGCAUCUCCUGGACCCUGAGGAACCAGGAGAAGACUCAAAGGCCCAGGGAAUGAAUGGUGCAGAGGAAGAAGGAGCCCAGGUCCUGAGUCACCUCACACAAGGCCACUCAGCUAUUACUCAUGCAAUUCAUAUUGUGUUAAACCAUGGAGAUUGUAGAAAAGCUAUAAACUUCAGAUAAACAAAAGAAAAAAAUUACUCAGAAUCCUAAAAACCAGAGAUAACUGUUCGAAACAUUAGCCUAUCCUCGUAAAUUGAGGCCUACUGCUUUUUAAAGUCAGCUACAACUGGAAUUAGUAGUUAAAAAUAAGGGUUUGGUAUGAUUUUCUUUUUCACAAUCAUCUUCCUCUUUCUUGAAUACUUGUUAUGUGUUUUCAUUUUUUCUGAAUACCUAUUAUGAAAAAUAAGCUAUAAUGUAUGCAUUAUUUAUUUGUGUGUAUGAAACUUCAUUCAUGUGUAAGGUAUAUUUCUCCCUACAUACAUCUCACUCUCAAAUAUCCAUGUGACUGAUAUGGAAAAUUGGUAUAUAUAAAUAACGUAGGCCAUGUAGAUUUCAUUUUGAAUAGUCUCAGCUUGGGGACUGAUACACACCUAGGCUUCCAGGAGACGCAGUGGCACUCACCAAUCAUCUGUCCCAUCCCUUGCCCACUCAUCAGCUCCCUUUGAGUCAGGAAAACCAUGUGACUAGCUCUGGCCAAUGGAAAGAGACUAGAAGCAACACAUGCUACCUAUGAGCAGAAGGGUCAAAAAGCCCACAUGCAAUUUCUCUGUUUCUCUUCCUGCUGCAGUGACAGGGACCUGGUGUAGUCAGGGACAGCAGAGUCUCCAGUAUCCCAGGUCCCCAAGCACACCCCUUCCCCUCCAAGGAUGGGCAUUUGGCAUGAGCAAGAACUAAAGCUUUCUUGUGUUAAGACAGCAGGAUUUCUGAUUAAUGGGGUAAUGCAGCCCAAGCCUACCCUGCCCUGAUAGCAUAAGGCUCACACUGUUCCCCGUCCACAUCAAGAGCUCCAAGAGAGCAGGCUCACUGCUACCAUUAGUCAUUCACAGCCCAGUUAAGUGGGCUUUGACUUCCUAGCGAUGACGGAAACACUGAAUUGAAGAAUAAGGGCUUUAUAAGACAGGUGAGCGUUCUUCUAGUGACAGUAGGAGUGACUUCACUAUAAUGCAUAAGAAGCAGAUGCAGCUUUCUGGAUUUUCCCAGGUGCAAAGUAGCUUAUGAAAUACAUUUAUUACGGUACAUGAAAACUAUUAAUAGUGUCUACAUAUAAGGGUAGAAACAAAAGAGAGUGAAUCUGAUCUCUUGGCUUGCUGAGCAUAUUUUCCACCUAAUAAUAAUGAAAAGGGAUGUAUGGCAAGGAGUGGAGAAGUCAGUUGGCAGAGAGGGAACAUGAACUGAAGUCCAGCUCCUUUGUCCCUUUUGUGUCUGUUUCAGUCUGGCUGUUGAAUAUCUUCCAAAGGUUCAUGUAUGAAAGUUUGAUCCCUAGAAUGGCACAUUGGGAAGUUCUGUGGCUCUUAAAGAGGUGGAAGUGUCCCCUCAAAGGGAAGUGGGACCCCAGUUCUGUGUGUAUGUGUGUACAUGCGCUUGGUUUAAAAUGUGACCUAUAGGGUCGGGGAUUUAGCUCAGUGGUUUUGCCGCCUGCCUAGCAAGCUCAAGGACCCAAGUUUGAUUCCCCGGUACCCUCCCCCCAGAUAAAAUAAAAUAAAAUAAAAUAAAAUAAAAUAAAACGUGACCUACAGAGAGAUUCUUUAGCUCAGUCUUGAAGGUUCAAAGUCUGAGAUCGGGCAGGUUAGGGGAGGAUUGCCUUGUCCCCUGUGAUGACAGUGGUGGUGAUGCAUCAUGGUGUCAUAUGCUUUGUUAGAGUGACAGAAGGCUGACAAACAGCAUCUGAUAUCUUUAAGUUAACUUUUAUGAAAUCAGUCAAUGAUACUUUUCUAUAGUGUCCAAUUUCUUUAUCAUGAUCACAUGUUAUUUUUAUAAUUAGAAAAUAGUAUUUCUAAUUUGGAAAAUAAACUAUUGGUUUUUUAAUAAUUGCUGCCUCCAUUGACACCUAAAGAAUCACACCUACAACAGAGUCUAUCAGCUUCCUUAACAGUUUAAUUCAAGGGCUGAGUUCGUUAGGGGAAGGUUUAACAUCGUGAUUCUAGAAGCAAGCAUAGCAGCAUCGCACAUCUGAGGGGCUCAUCCACAUCUGC